UCCGCCCCGCCCCUUCCGGGGGCGCCGCGAAGCGCGCCGGAAGCGCCGGCCGGAGCGGGCAGGAGGCGGAGGGCGCAGCGCGGCGAGCGAGCGGCGAGAAGUAACUGCUCCAGGCAGUUGGAGACAUCGAUAGCCAGGAGAGUGCAGCACUGCCGCUCGCAGCAGCAGAGCGG